GGCGAACGGGUGAGUAAUGUAUCGGAACGUGCCCAGUCGUGGGGGAUAACGUAGUGAAAAUUACGCUAAUACCGCAUACGAUCUAUGGAUGAAAGCGGGGGAUCGCAAGACCUCGCGCGAUUGGAGCGGCCGAUAUCAGAUUAGGUAGUUGGUGAGGUAAAGGCUCACCAAGCCAACGAUCUGUAGCUGGUCUGAGAGGACGACCAGCCACACUGGAACUGAGACACGGUCCAGACUCCUACGGGAGGCAGCAGUGGGGAAUAUUGGGCAAUGGGCGAAAGCCUGACCCAGCGACGCCGCGUGCGGGAUGAAGGCCUUCGGGUUGUAAACCGCUUUCAGCAAGGAAGAAGCGAAAGUGACGGUACCUGAAGAAGAAGCACCGGCUAACUAUGUGCCAGCAGCCGCGGUAAUACAUAGGGUGCAAGCGUUAAUCGGAAUUACUGGGCGUAAAGCGUGCGCAGGCGGUUAUAUAAG
rnacentral:rRNA from 1 species